CCUACGGGUGGCAGCAGUAAGGGAUAUUGGUCAAUGGGGGAAACCCUGAACCAGCAACGCCGCGUGAGGGAAGACGGUUUUCGGAUUGUAAACCUCUGUCCUCUGUGAAGAUGAUGACGGUAGCAGAGGAGGAAGCUCCGGCUAACUACGUGCCAGAAGCCGCGGUAAGACGUAGGGAGCGAGCGUUGUCCGGAUUUACGGGGUGUAAGGGGUUUGUAGGGGGCUUGGAAGGUCACUAGUGAAAGCCAUGGGCUUAACCCAUGAACUGCUAUUGAAACUGUCGAGCUUGAGUGAAGUAGAGGUAGGCGGAAUUCCCGGUGUAGCGGUGAAAUGCGUAGAGAUCGGGCGGAACACCAGUGGCGAAGGCGGCCUACUGAGCUUUAACUGACGCUGAGGCACGAAAGCGUGGGUAGCAAACAGGAUUAGAUACCCUUGUAGUC
rnacentral:rRNA from 1 species